CAAUUAUUGAGACUCUCAACCGGUGGAAACUAGCCACCUCACGUUACUUGGCAAAAAAACGUGGCAAAUUCUGAUGCCUUUGCUCUUGCAUGCUGGCAAUCUACACCUCCUCUCAACUGAGAUCAGCAAACCAUACUUUCUUGCCCGCAAGAGAAAGAUAGACAAAGAAAGACCAGAUCAGGAAAAAAAAUUGGAUCAUGGAAGAAGUAGAAUCUGCAGCAACACAACAAGAAGUCACUCCCAAGAGAAAGCAUCAUGAAGGUUCAGUAGCUUCUAAUAUCAGAAGAGAAUGCCUUUCCUUCACAACUUCAUUACAAGAAGGUUUCCGCUACAUCAAAGGAAUUGUUGUUGGACAGGCAAAGAAAAUGACUGCCAAGGAUGAGCAUGAAGCUACGGAAGCUGAUCUGUUGGCUUCAAAGAUGCAAGUUGAUGCUGCCGAUGAAGCUGAAAGUACCAAGAAGAAACUUGAUAAAUCCUAUUAAACUUUGUCUUGUGCGUUUAUUUGUCUGAUCUUCAGUGUGUCCUCUUUCAGUUUAUGCAAAAUAUUGUGGACUAUGAUGCAUGCAUGUAAAGUCAUUACGAUGAUAUAGACAUGGAACAAAUGUUAUGCUCUUAUGCAUAAUUUUCAAGGGGCAUAUUACUUGCUGAUGCAAGAGAUGUCUCGG